GCCGGGGUGGCGAAAUUGGUAUACGCACUAGACUCAAAAUCUAGCGGGCUUAACGCCCAUGACGGUUCGACUCCGUCCCUCGGUACCA
rnacentral:tRNA from 2 species